GACGAACGCUGGCGGCGUGCCUAAUACAUGCAAGUAGAACGCUGAAGGAAGGAGCUUGCUCUUUCCGGAUGAGUUGCGAACGGGUGAGUAACGCGUAGGUAACCUGCCUGGUAGCGGGGGAUAACUAUUGGAAACGAUAGCUAAUACCGCAUAAGAGUAGAUAUCGCAUGAUAGCUGCUUGAAAGGUGCAAUUGCACCACUACCAGAUGGACCUGCGUUGUAUUAGCUAGUUGGUGAGGUAACGGCUCACCAAGGCAACGAUACAUAGCCGACCUGAGAGGGUGAUCGGCCACACUGGGACUGAGACACGGCCCAGACUCCUACGGGAGGCAGCAGUAGGGAAUCUUCGGCAAUGGACGGAAGUCUGACCGAGCAACGCCGCGUGAGUGAAGAAGGUUUUCGGAUCGUAAAGCUCUGUUGUAAGAGAAGAACGAGUGUGAGAGUGGAAAGUUCACACUGUGACGGUAUCUUACCAGAAAGGGACGGCUAACUACGUGCCAGCAGCCGCGGUAAUACGUAGGUCCCGAGCGUUGUCCGGAUUUAUUGGGCGUAAAGCGAGCGCAGGCGGUUAGAUAAGUCUGAAGUUAAAGGCUGUGGCUUAACCAUAGUACGCUUUGGAAACUGUUUAACUUGAGUGCAAGAGGGGAGAGUGGAAUUCCAUGUGUAGCGGCGAAAUGCGUAGAUAUAUGGAGGAACACCGGUGGCGAAAGCGGCUCUCUGGCUUGUAACUGACGCUGAGGCUCGAAAGCGUGGGGAGCAAACAGG
rnacentral:rRNA from 1 species